CCCAGGCUCCUACGCGGUUUGGUCUCGGCACUAAUCCAGUCCUGCAGAAAAAACAGAAUUGAAAGCAAUUUCUGGAGAAAAUGCUAAAGGGAAUAGAAGGAGCCAGCCAGAGGAGAAUUUUACCACUGAAACAUUUCCUGAGUUCAUCAAGGAUUGUAGGGUGGCAGUGGCCAGGCCUUGGCUGUGAGUUGUCUGAUAACCAUAGAGACACACGCUGUCCCCACUCGGCCAGGUCAGAGUGUGCCCUGGAGACCAUCUAUCCCACUAAUUUUCUACUUCUAAAAGGAAGGCUUAAGUUUUUUUAAAAGAUGUACAUCACAGUUGUCCCUGCUGAAGCGAAGGAGGGAAGGAUGAAGCACAACUCUUUGGUCACCUCGCCCCCUUCCCUCGUCUGUAUCUCUGGUGGUCUCCACCUAAGGAGCAGGUUUUGGCAUCAUUUGAACCACAAAGCAACAGACAGAGCACCAUAUUUGGGAUUGGAAACGUCAAUGCCCAUGUCAGCCGCUCUGCUACUGCAGAUCUCGGUGUCCGUGGACGCAGCACAGGUCGAGUGGAUCUACUGAGUUGCAAGAAUAGACGGAGAUAACAGACUUCUCCACAAAUGGUGAUUUCCUCCCUCCCAUCAGCUUCAAAGGAAAAAGAGAGGACGGCUGGACAUGGCCAAGCCACCUGUGCAAUCCAGCAGUGACAAGACCAGUAAUUGCCACAAAGCUGUCAAACUGGACCUCAUGGCACAGAGGCUGGCCGGAAAACAGCAGAAUAAAAAGAGCCUGAGCAUUUCAGGCUUACAGAAGCCUCAGCCGAGGCAGGUCAGUGGUGUGACUGGAUAAACUCUUGGCUGGAGAAGCCUGGGUUUUCAGGGAGAUUCAUCUGGCCACUAAGUUUGUGGACCUGGAACUGUGCAGGGGAAAAGCAGGGUUGGACUCCACUGUUUUGUUGGUUGUGGUAUUAGGGGUGAGCUGGGGCCCUGUGCAUGUGCUCCACUCUCUUUCUGGACUCUUCUAAGGGGAGGCCGCUGCUCCAGCACACACACACACACACACACACACACACACACACACACACACACACUCUGCUCCAUUAUCCUGGGCAGCCCCCCUCCUGGGAAAGAUCCUGCUGGGCGUCUCCUAGAAACCAGGCCUGGGACACAGCAGGUGGUACUGCAGCUGGAAAGUCACCCUUCCCAGAGGGUUCAGCUGCUCCUGCACUUUCAUAACCAUUUGUUGCCACCUGCUGGCCGUUGAACUGCAGCACUUAGCUCUGCAAACCUGAGCCUGGGGCCAAGAACUAUGGGAGAUACACCCUCAUGUGACUCCAGGCCGCUGAGUUUCUCACAGUGUUCUCGGAAGGACUCACAGUUAUUCCAUCAUCAUGCCACACAAGACAGUGGGCUUUUAUAAAAAGUGACACUUCAUUCCUGCUUUAUUUAAUCAGCCAGUUACAAACACUUGGAACUCUACUGCAUGGCGCUGGUAGCGAUUGAUAGCCACAUCUCAUUUGUUCCCCCCAAAUACUUCAUCUACCCCAUUCUUGGAUUAAGCUUAACUUCACUGAUUCCUUUAUCAGUAGUGACUUACUGAAUGCCUACUACGUCUCCAGCUUCUAGCCAAAAGCUGGGUAAACAGCAGUGACGAAACAGGCAUGGUCACUGCUCUCACAGGCCAGUAGUCCAGUGGGGGAGGCAGACGAUCAGUGAUCACACAAAUAAACUUCCUAACACACAAAGGCAAUGGGACAACAGAGAAAUACAACUGUGUGUGGAACGAGCAGGCCUAAAAGAUCUGGUAGUUUCUAAAUGGAGAUUUGGGCUAUUUGAUGUGCACUAAAGUUUUUUUUGUUUUUUUUUUUCGUUUUUUGGUCUUUCUCCUUUUUAUCGGGGAUUGAACUCACAACUGCCUGCUUGCAAGGCAGGUGCUUAUGCCGCUGAGCUAAAUCCCCAGCCCCGCACUAAAGUUUUUAAAGUGUUUUCAUUUUUUGACUCAGUGCUUUCAUUUUUAGGAAGUGUGAUCAAAAAUACAGUGAAUAUUUAAAAUUCUCAAAAUUUUAUUACAGUAAAAGUUACUCUGCGCUUAAUCCUCAAAAUUCUCCCCCUUGUUUCCAACACACUUAUCCAUGGCUGGAUAAAGCCAUUCCUGCUGCUUUCUGAAGCAGUUCUCAAAGUCCUCUCUCAUGGCUGUCUGGAUGUUCUGAAUGGAUUCAAAAUGUUUAUGGCGCUUUCUGUGGACCUCCUGGUGGGUCUUCAUCUGCCUUCUUCACUGGUUCUAGCACCCUGUGACUGCUGGUUCUUCUUCCAAGUCAAAAUGACCACGAAUUAUGCUGUGAUUUCUCUCAUCCAAGAAAAUGGGAACAAAAUAAAAGUAUCCUUUCUUUUUUGGACAGUA